AAGUCGUAACAAGGUUUCCGUAGGUGAACCUGCGGAAGGAUCAUUAGUGAAAGUCUGGGCUCCGGCCCUCUCUCUUCUAUAACCUUGUCCACCUUGUGAACUUACUAUGUUGCUUUGGCGGGUCUCUGCUCUCAGACUGCAAGUCCGGGACGGUUAGAUCGAAAGGUGCCUGCCAAGGACAUUCAAAUCACCCUUUUUUUUCAAUCGUCUGAUUUUUGUUUAUACAAAAUAAAAUAAAACUUUCAACAAUGGAUCUCUUGGCUCUG
rnacentral:misc_RNA from 1 species